rnacentral:rRNA from 1 species
GUAGGGUGCGAGCGUUGCCCGGAUUUAUUGGGCGUAAAGGGCGCGUAGGCGGCCACGCACGUCCGUUGUGAAAUCGCUCGGCUCAACUGGGCGGGGUCAGCGGAUACGGCGUGGCUGGAGCAAGCUAGGGGGCAAUGGAAUUCCCGGUGUAGUGGUGGAAUGCGUAGAUAUCGGGAGGAACACCAGUGGCGAAGGCGGUUGCCUGGAGCUUUGCUGACGCUGAUGCGCGAAAGCGUGGGGAGCGAUCCGGAUUAGAUACCCGGGUAGUCCACGCCGUAAACGAUGUCGACUAGGUGUCGGGGGUAUCGACCCCCUCGGCGCCGCAGCUAACGCAUUAAGUCGACCGCCUGGGGACUACGGCCGCAAGGCUA